rnacentral:rRNA from 1 species
AUCGAAUAAAUCACUGAUAAUUAACGGCCUCUCUGAGAUCCUUGCACUAACAAAACAAGAAAACCAUGCACUUAAUACCGUUAAUCUAACACAAGAACAUUACAGGAAAGAUUAAAAGACGCAGAAGGAACUCGGCAAACUACGAACCCCGCCUGUUUACCAAAAACAUCGCCUCUUGCUAACAAACAUGUAUAAGAGGUCCAGCCUGCCCAGUGACUAUAUGUUCAACGGCCGCGGUAUUCUGACCGUGCAAAGGUAGCGUAAUCACUUGUCUUUUAAAUAAAGACUGGUAUGAACGGCACCACGAAGGUUCAACUGUCUCCUGCAUCCAAUCCAUUAAACUGACCUCCCCGUGCAGAGGCGGGGAUUUAACCAUAAGACGAGAAGACCCUAUGGAGCUUUAAACUAAAGGCAACUGCCAACUACAACCUUACCCAUAAGGAAAUAAUAAUUAAACAAGCAGAAAUUGACCUAAAGUUUUCGGUUGGGGCGACCACGGAGAAUAAAAAAUCCUCCUUGAAGAAUAGGGCCUACUACCCUUAAC